rnacentral:rRNA from 1 species
GACGAACGCUGGCGGCGUGCCUAAUACAUGCAAGUAGAACGCUGAAGGAGGAGCUUGCUUCUCUGGAUGAGUUGCGAACGGGUGAGUAACGCGUAGGUAACCUGCCUGGUAGCGGGGGAUAACUAUUGGAAACGAUAGCUAAUACCGCAUAAUAGUAGAUGUUGCAUGACAUUUGCUUAAAAGGUGCAAUUGCAUCACUACCAGAUGGACCUGCGUUGUAUUAGCUAGUUGGUGAGGUAACGGCUCACCAAGGCAACGAUACAUAGCCGACCUGAGAGGGUGAUCGGCCACACUGGGACUGAGACACGGCCCAGACUCCUACGGGAGGCAGCAGUAGGGAAUCUUCGGCAAUGGACGGAAGUCUGACCGAGCAACGCCGCGUGUGUGAAGAAGGUUUUCGGAUCGUAAAGCUCUGUUGUAAGAGAAGAACGAGUGUGAGAGUGGAAAGUUCACACUGUGACGGUAUCUUACCAGAAAGGGACGGCUAACUACGUG